GAAAGGCUCUCUUCUGGAGAUCUCUCCUUUGAGAGUUUUGUAGUGAGACCAGGAUGUGGUGGGUUGCUGUGACACCGGUGCAAGGCCUUGCAUUUGGAUUUUUGAACCUCAUGACGUUCCCCUGUGCACACUCCAGGUCUCUCUUGAUGGCAUCCCAUCCCUGAGGUGUGCUGACCACAACACACGUCAUGUGUCAUCCACAAACUUGCUGAUGCUGCAUUUGAUCUCAUUGUCAGUGUCUUUGAUUAAGGAUAUAACAGAGCGCUAGCCCCAGUACUGACCCCUGUGGGACGCCACUCAUCACUCCAACCAGACUGUGACCCAUUGGCCGUUACUCUCUGGGUAUGGUCUUGUAACUAGUUCCCCAUUCAUCAAACUCUCCACCUAUCAAAUCCAUAUCUUUUUAAUUUAGAGAGAAGAAUGUUGUGGGUAACUUUCCCAAAGGCCUUACUGAAGUCUAGGUAGAAAACAUCAGUGGCUCUUUACUUGUCCAUUUACACAGUUAUACCAUCAUGGAAAGUCAUUAUGUUGGUCAGACAGGACUUGCCCUUGAUGAAGCUGGUUUAUUUCACACCACCUUCAUCUCUUCCGCAUCCCUGACUAUAGCUUCCAGGAGGAUCUGUUCCUUGAUGUUUCUCUGAAACAGAGUCACUAGGGACUUCGCCUGACUGCCAUAACUUUUCAAAUAUCAUCGAGCGUGUCUUGGUGACUACAUCACCCAAUUCCCUCUGGACUCUAGGAUGCAUCUGGUUCCUCAGAUGGAUGUGAACCCGAUCUUCAGUUACAGCAGGAGGGACGUUGCUCCUUCAGUACCCACCUUUAAAGCCAUUCACUGAAGGGGUGUGUGAAGAGUAGUUGCCAGAGAGAACUGAGACACAAAAGGCUGUUUUUGCACCUCAGCCUUCUCCUUGUCUACAGUUAUCAGCCUGCCUCUAUUGCUCACUAGGGAUUGGCACACCUUCUCGGACUUCCUUUUUCUGAAUUAUGUACCCGUAGAAGCUUUUUUAAUUCUUCUCCCCUCUUGGCAUGUCCAGUUCUAGUUAGGCCUUGGCCUUCCUGACCCUGUCUCUACACACCCUAGCAGCAUCCUUACACUCUCCUCUCAGGGUACCUGUUCCUGCUUCCACUAAAUUGUUUCUUAUAUACACAUAUAACUACUUAAAAAUGAACAAAGCCUGUACUCAGGCUUCCCUCUUCUCUUCCCCAUUGUGUAAGACAUUGCUAUAAUGGAUUUGUCUGACAUUUUUUUUUAAUCUUCCAUGUAGACUAAUUGUGUAUGUACUAGAUGGGCAUGCUAGUUAUGCAUAUUUUGACACUUUUUAGAAUUAGGACAUAAUGCAGUAGUUGUGUAGUUCUCUAAGCUAUGUUCUCAAGGAGAAUGAAUGUUAAAAAAAAAGUAAAAAAAAAACACAACAACGAAAAAGUCAAAAUUCUCUUUUCACAAGUUAAAUCAGACUCCUUAACAGAAAAGUCGAGUGGAGUAAUCUUAUCUGAGGUGCUGGGGAAUUUCAUAACCAAUCCUUCUAGUUACCUUAACCAGGAUAAAACUUUCAUGGUUUUAUCACUCUAGCUAAAACAUAUAAAUGGCUUACACAGAAGCAUUUUGUUAUAUUGAAAAACUCUUACGUUUUGUUAAAAUGUGCUAUUCUGCAUAAAAAUAAAUCAUAGUAGAAAAUAAAAAUA